AUACGGAGGGUGCAAGCGUUAUGCGGAUUUAUUGGGUUUAAAGGGUCCGUAGGCGGAUCUGUAAGUCAGUGGUGAAAUCUCAUAGCUUAACUAUGAAACUGCCAUUGAUACUGCAGGUCUUGAGUAAGGUAGAAGUAGCUGGAAUAAGUAGUGUAGCGGUGAAAUGCAUAGAUAUUACUUAGACCACCAAUUGCGAAGGCAGGUUACUAUGUCUUAACUGACGCUGAUGGACGAAAGCGUGGGGAGCGAACAGGAUUAGAAACCCCUGUAGUCC
rnacentral:rRNA from 1 species